ACCAGGUAGUUUGAACCCAUCUUAUUGGUAUUACUAUGAUAGGAGGGUUCGCGUCCCCCAUAUCACAUUUCAUGAUCGGGUGCUUAAGUCACCUUAGUAUAUUAUUGAAGGGUUUGAGUCCUCUGUGUGUGUGUGUAUAUAUAUAUAUAUAUAUAUAUGAAUUUCUCUAAUUCGUGUGGAUACAUGCAUUGGGGCCUGACCAGGGGGUGAGAACUGGGCACAUAAAGCCUGUGGGUACUAAUAUUAUGACAGUUAAGCUACACAGCCCAGGUUAAAGUUUUAAAUAGUCAUGAUAAGCCUUGUUCCCUUUCCC
rnacentral:lncRNA from 1 species